UAGGCUUGCCAACUUGUUGAAUGAGA
rnacentral:piRNA from 1 species